ACGAUUGCGCUUGUCGUANUCAUUAAACCUAUACAACUUUCAGCAACGGAUCUCUUGGCUCUCCUAUCGAUGAAGAACGCAGCGAAAUGCGAUAAGUAAUGUGAAUUGCAGAAUUCAGUGAAUCAUCGAAUCUUUGAACGCACCUUGCGCCCUUUGGUAUUCCGAAGGGCAUGCCUGUUUGAGUGUCAUUAAAUUAUCAACCUUGCUCGCUUUUACCGGCUUGAGUUAGGCUUGGACUUGAGGGCUUGCUGGCUUCCUUCAGUGGACGGUCUGCUCCCUUUAAAUGCAUUAGUGGGAUCUCUUGUGGACCGUCACUUGGUGUGAUAAUUAUCUAUGCCACUUGACCUUGAAGCAAACCUUAUGGGAACCCGCUCAUAACCGUCUUCGGACAGCUUUUGACAUUUUGACCUCAAAUCAGGUAGGACUACCCGCUGAACUUAAGCAUAUCAAUAAGCGGAGGAAAAGAAACUAACAAGGAUUCCCCUAGUAACUGCGAGUGAAGCGGGAAAAGCUCAAAUUUAAAAUCUGGCGGUUCUUGUAGCCGUCCGAGUUGUAAUUUAGAGAAGUGUUAUCCGCGCUGG
rnacentral:rRNA from 1 species